rnacentral:rRNA from 1 species
GACGAAGGAUGCAAGCGUUAUCCGGAUUCAUUGGGUUUAAAGGGAGCGUAGGUGGCCUUAUAAGUCAGUGGUGAAAUCUCUCGGCUUAACCGAGAAAUUGCCAUUGAUACUGUAGGGCUUGAGUAUAGUUGCCGUUGGCGGAAUAUGACAUGUAGUGGUGAAAUACAUAGAGAUGUCAUAGAACACCGAUUGCGAAGGCAGCUAACGAAACUAUAACUGACACUGAGGCUCGAAAGUGCGGGGAUCAAACAGG